rnacentral:rRNA from 1 species
CCUACGGGACGCAGCAGUGGGGAAUAUUGCACAAUGGGGGAAACCCUGAUGCAGCGACGCCGCGUGAAGGAAGAAGUAUUUCGGUAUGUAAACUUCUAUCAGCAGGGAAGAAAAUGACGGUACCUGACUAAGAAGCCACGGCUAACUACGUGCCAGCAGCCGCGGUAAUACGUAGGUGGCAAGCGUUGUCCGGAUUUACUGGGUGUAAAGGGCGUGUAGCCGGGUUGACAAGUCAGAUGUGAAAUCCUGCGGCUUAACCGCAGAACUGCAUUUGAAACUGUUGAUCUUGAGUACUGGAGAGGCAG